rnacentral:rRNA from 1 species
UGGGAACCUUCCCUAUGGUUCGGAAUAGCUCAGGGAAACUUGGGGUAAUACCGGAUAAGCCCUUACGGGGAAAGAUUUAUCGCCAUUGGAUGGGCCCGCGUCGGAUUAGCUAGUUGGUGAGGUAACGGCUCACCAAGGCGACGAUCCGUAGCUGGUCUGAGAGGAUGAUCAGCCACACUGGGACUGAGACACGGCCCAGACUCCUACGGGAGGCAG